AUUGUUUUCUUCCAGAAUAAUUUCGAUAUAACGCUUUAAUUAAUUUAUACGCUCAUGAAACCUGAUUAGCAAUAUGAAAGUUAGAAAAAGAGCAAAUGGCAAACAUACCAUGUCCUUCGAUGAAAGUUAUAUUAUGUGGGGAUUUUGGUGUUGGGAAAACAGCAAUUUUCAAAAGGUUUGCAAAUAAAAAUAAAUCAGACCCAGAAAAUAAUAUAUUCAUUAAUCUCGAUCACAUCGAAAAUAAGUUCCAAAUUUCAUCUUCCGAAAGUAUCAAAAUACAACUUUGGGACACUGCACAGCUUGAAAAAUGGUCAUCCAUUCCUAAUAGUUAUUAUAAAUACUCAGAUGCCGCAAUUUUAGUUUAUUCUCUCAAUGAUAUUAAAACUUUUAAAUCACUUCCCCAAUAUAUACUUGAUAUUGUAGAAAAUUCUCCUAAAUGUAAAUAUUUUUAUCUGUGUGGAAAUAAAAAUAAUUUAAAUGCAAGUAAUCAAGAUGAUAAUCUUGUUACAAAAAGAAUGUUGGAUAAUUUUAUUACUGACUGUGGAAAUAUGAAAAUUAAAUCAUACACAUUAUCAACUAUAUCUCCAGAAAAAAUAAAGCUAAACAUUGAAUUUGAGUCAAUGUUUCAGGAUAUAGCAAAAGAUUUAAAUACAUCUUAUAGACAAAGUCAAGUAAUUCAAUUUAAUCCAGCCUUAUUGAAAAUAAUUAAGGAUAAUCCAUUAUAUGAUAAAAAUGAAACUAAUAAUUGUAAUUAUUGUUAAAAAAAGAAGAUAGCAGAAAUAAUUAAAAUUAUGUAUUAUUUAAUCAAAAAUUCUCAAAAUAUACCAGUGACUUAAUGCAAUACUUACUUAAUUUUUAUAAAAAAUUGCUGCAUAAUUAAACUUUUUUAAAAUAAAUGAUGUAUUUUUUUUUUCAAUUUAAUAUUCAAAAAUAAAUAUUAAUAUUGUCAUUUGGAUAUAUUUAGAGAAAUCCUAUUAAAUUUUUAAUUUCAACAAGAUUUCUACUAGCAACAACUUUAGCUAGUUCAGACCCCUCAUUUAUAAUGUCACAUAAAUUCAUAAAUUUUUUGUCAUCCAUGAUUUUGUUAUUUUCUGGAUCAUGUGGUAAUAAGUCCAAUAUUUUAGUCCUGAUUGGCAAUAAUUCUUUGAUCAAUAAAUGGGAUAUCUCUUCCUUCAUAUGUUUCACUGAGUCAAAUGUGAUCUUGAUAUUGUUAUUAAAUACAA